UUUUGAGUGGAACUUGUCACCAACAAGCUUAGAGAUCCAUACCGGGCUGUAGUUCGCGGGACUUGGUGAACCCAACUCUGUAGCUCGGAGCCAGGAGAAGAUCAAGUUUAGGUCUGGGGGGUGUCAGAGAGUCGUAUUGUCUACGUUAUCAAUAUCUUGUUAUUACCUGCUUGUGAGUGUAAGACUUGUAUUCUGAUUGUAUUUGUAAUUUGC